rnacentral:rRNA from 1 species
GACGAACGCUGGCGGCGCGCCUAACACAUGCAAGUCGAACGAGAGAGGAAGAGCUUGCUUUUCCGAUCGAGUGGCGAACGGGUGAGUAACGCGCGAGGAACCUGCCUCAAAGAGGGGGACAACAGUUGGAAACGACUGCUAAUACCGCAUAAGCCCACGGCUCGGCAUCGAGCAGAGGGAAAAGGAGCAAUCCGCUUUGAGAUGGCCUCGCGUCCGAUUAGCUAGUUGGUGAGGUAACGGCCCACCAAGGCGACGAUCGGUAGCCGGACUGAGAGGUUGAACGGCCACAUUGGGACUGAGACACGGCCCAGACUCCUACGGGAGGCAGCAGUGGGGAAUAUUGCACAAUGGGGGAAACCCUGAUGCAGCGACGCCGCGUGGAGGAAGAAGGUCUUCGGAUUGUAAACUCCUGUUGUUGAGGAAGAUAUGACGGUACUCAACAAGGAAGUGACGGCUAACUACGUGCCAGCAGCCGCCGUAA